UUAACCUCCUCCACUUUGGUCCACCCCUGGUGCAGCCCUGCCAGGGUGGCGCGUGGGAAUUUUGCUUCCGACGCGCCUUCGUGGACCUUCGAGGCCUGGGGCACCUCCGGCAAGGCGCCGUCCAACCGCCAACGGACGCUGCGUUGCUCGAGGUGCUCCGACCUCAACUCAUUUUUUCUUCUGCCACUUCUCUUGAAUUUUUAUGAGGACAUUUUGUGUUGCUUUGCCUCUUUUUUCUGACUUCAGAGCGACCAGGAAGUGCAAUCCUGUGACCAAAAUGUGAAUAUCGGCUGACCUGUGCAACAAUCUGGAGAUUUUUACGAGACUCCUCUGCCUUGCAAGCCAAUGGAGUGUAGAAAGAGGAAGCACCGGCAACCGGAUCUGCUUGAGGCCUGGCCAGGAAACCGACCAAGCAAGAAACGUCAGGCUGCAGUGGACGCCAAGGGGGCCAUCGACUAAUGCCUCAGGAUGGGGGCCAAUGUGGCCUUCUCAACUGGCUCGACGGUCACCCACGAACAAGGAAAUGGUUCGAUUAGGAUUACCCUUCCUGCAGGUUAAAAGCAGCUACUACUGGAAAGGCAACUAUAGCUCCAGCAUGCUCAAAGUGCGUUGUGUUUUUCACACGAUGCUGCCAGUUUCCAGUUCUACGCCUCGGUUGACUCUUUUGCACUUGCUGCCCUCUUUUGCCACUUCUGAUUUUGUCGCAGUCACUUUUGUCAAUUAAAAAAGAACCCUGUCAGUAUUUACUAAGGGCAGUUUUGCCUCCCGACUCAGUCAGCAGAAGCUUUCCCUUCAAUUGCCCAUCGGAAGCACCUUCGAUUUAAUUGCAUGCGGAGUCGCCCGAUAAUAUCUGCUUGUUGGCACUACAGCUGAAAAUUAUUUGUAAAAAAUUUAUAUAAAUCAACUUUGAGUGUGGUUUUAUAACUCGUCAACAAAUUCUGUAUGUAGGGCAAAAAGAAAAAAAAUUUUGUGGGGUGUUUUUAUUUAUCACCUGGGCAAAGGUCAAGGGACGAUGAGCCCCAUAAAAUCUCUUAAAUAUUGUUAGAAAUUUUUAAUGGUUCAUUUUCAUAAGACAUAUGGAAGACUCAAUCAAACAUACUGCUGCGCUUUGAAAGGUUGCUUGUGUUGCAAGUUGGUUUGGCCGAAAUUUUUUUAAAUAGGAAAUACAGAAAUUAGAACCUUUUUUAAUAUACUUAUCUCUAUAUAAAUCGUCCGGCUAGCGAUAUCAAUUUGGUGGGGCUAAGGGUAUUUAACAUUGCUUGUGUUGGUCAUGACCAAGUGUUUAUGACCAAGAUUGAUGAUAGGAGACCAGUCUAUUGCGCAAAUAACUCCAGCUAGAAGCAAAUUGCUGUGGUAAGUGCUAUUCGAGGAUGCUGCCGUGUCACCUAUUAAUGUGCGCCAUGUAGACAAACGUCACUGGUUGUAAGGCCAUCAUGAAACAAUUAUCUAAAAGUGCACCAAUUAUAUAUUUACAUCGCUUGUAGUUCAGUAAAAUGGUUAGUUUGAAAUGAUAAAUUAGAGGCUUCCUAAAUAAUUGCCACAUAAAAAAUUGCGCUUUAUAAAAAUUGUUCAAUUGUAACUAAAAACUCAAAUAAUUUAUCUAAUUCCGUUCUAAUACUUCGAAUGAUGCAAGUGCAAUAUGUGAAAUUUUCAAAGUAAAGUUCGACUAUGUCAAAUUAAUUAGCAUUUUAUAGAUAAAUUUAUUGCUCUUGUUAUGAUAAAUUUGUAAAGAGUAAAUUAGGCAUA